rnacentral:rRNA from 1 species
CCUACGGGCGGCAGCAGUGAGGAAUAUUGGUCAAUGGGCGCGAGCCUGAACCAGCCAUGCAGCGUGAAGGAUGAUUGCCUUACGGGUUGUAAACUUCUUUUAUCAAGGACUAUAGUGAGGCCGGUGUGCCUUUUUGUAUGUACUUUAUGAAUAACGAUCGGCUAACUCCGUGCCAGCAUCGGCGGUAAUCCGGUGGUUCCGAGCUUUAUCCGGAUUUAUUGGGUUAAAGGGGAGCUUAGCUGGAUGGUUAAUCCGGUUGGGAAUGCUUGCGGCUCACGCGUAAAAUUGCAAUUGAUACUGGCAGGCUGGAGUACAGAUGAGGUAGGCGGAAUGCGUGGUGUAGCGGUGAAAUGCUUAGAUAUCACGAAGAACUCCGAUUGCGAAGGCAGCUUACUAAACUGCCACUGACAUUGAUGCUCGAAAGUGUGGGUAUCAAACAGGAUUAGAUACCCGAGUAGUC